rnacentral:rRNA from 1 species
GUCGAGGGGCAGCGCGAUGUAGCAAUACAUUGGCGGCGACCGGCGCACGGGUGCGUAACACGUAUGGAAUCUGCCCUUUACUGGGGGAUAGCCCGGAGAAAUCCGGAUUAAUACCCCAUAAUAAUCGAGGUGGCAUCACCUUGAUUUGAAAGCUCCGGCGGUAAAGGAUGACCAUGCGCACGAUUAGCUAGUAGGUGAGGUAACGGCUCACCUAGGCUACGAUCGUUAGGGGGCCUGAGAGGGUUAUCCCCCACACUGGUACUGAGACACGGACCAGACUCCUACGGGAGGCAGCAGUGAGGAAUAUUGCGCAAUGGAGGCAACUCUGACGCAGCCAUGCCGCGUGCAGGAAGAAGGCGCUACGCGUUGUAAACUGCUUUUAACCGGGAAGAAACCCCUCUACGUGUGGAGGGUUGACGGUACCGGAGGAAUAAGCACCGGCUAACUUCGUGCCAGCAGCCGCGGUAAUACGAAGGGUGCAAGCGUUAUCCGGAUUCAUUGGGUUUAAAGGGUGCGUAGGCGGGGUGGUAAGUCAGUGGUGAAAUCCUGCAGCUUAACUGUAGAAUUGCCAUUGAUACUGCCAUUCUUGAGUACGCUGGAUGUGGGCGGAAUGUGCCGUGUAGCGGUGAAAUGCUUAGAUAUGGCACAGAACACCGAUAGCGAAGGCAGCUCACAACGGCGAAACUGACGCUGAGGCACGAAAGCGUGGGGAUCGAACAGGAUUAGAUACCCUGGUAGUCCACGCCGUAAACGAUGAUCACUCGUCAUUGGCGAUACACUGUCAGUGACCUAGCGAAAGCGUUAAGUGAUCCACCUGGGGAGUACGGCCGCAAGGCUGAAACUCAAAGGAAUUGACGGGGGCCCGCACAAGCGGUGGAGCAUGUGGUUUAAUUCGAUGAUACGCGAGGAACCUUACCAGGGCUCGAACGCACGUAGACAGUCGCGGAAACGUGAUCUUCUUCGGACUGC